UAGUUUGCAGGUGCACCUUUGAACCAUU
rnacentral:piRNA from 1 species